CUGCAUCAUGCAUUUCCUGAUUCUGAGCAAAGAUUUGAAAAAGGAAGAAUGCAGCUCUUUUGGACAGAGAAGCUUGCCUCUGCCCCCCAACAUUUUGCGGAAGGAGCAUUCUGCAGAAAAGCUGCAGGGUGAGCAGGACUUCAAUCUCUGCUAUUUCUUUUAAAAAUAAAGCACUGAAGUGUUGCGCUAGAAAUUCUGCUACUAAGUGUCGGAUGUGGUAGGUGUGAAUACAUGUUUCAGUAGUUCCAGGCACAAGACCAAAUCUUCCCCCAAAUUAGCAGAGUCUAGCUAUAAUCUGGCUAACAUUUUUCUACAAAUAAGUACAAAGACCAUUUGGGAGUACGUUAUCUUUGAAGGGCUACUCAUUGGGUUUCCAUUGGAAUUUAGGGCCGUGGCUUACACAGCCUGGCAAUGGGAGUAGGGCUAGUCCUGGAGAAUUGCCCCAUUGCUGAGUUUUCCACUCCUGAAGCUUCCGUGUGUCAUCUGUGAGGUGAACGGUCAGCUAUACCUCACCCCUGUUUCUUCCUUGUACCUUCUGUAUUGCACGUGAAGCAUUGUCUCUAUGGAAUGGGCACAGUUUUGUUUUUUAAGGAAAUUGGUAUCCUGGGAGGAACAUCCCACAAGCAGUGACUUUGGCCUUACAGGUGCAGCUAUGGUUCCAUAAGUGUCCCAUCCCAUGUGCCGCAGGGGAGGAGCAGACCCCUCUGGAGAGGCCUGCAGGACACAUGGAAGGACUUUCCCCAAAUCAUGCUCCAGAGAAAGGAAACUCUCCACUGGUCUGCAUCAGGGAAGCUAGUUUUCCCCCUUCUUUUCUUCAAGCACCUCAACAUCUGCCCAGGAACUGGAAGAGAGGCACAGCGAGGAGAGGAGCUGGGCUCCAGCAACAUUUCAGAGCGGCCUGGACGAAAGCUUGGACGACCACAGAAAACCUUCCUGCCUUGGACCCCAAUCCAGAUCGAUGACCUAAUAUAUCUUUCCCCACACCGACUGCCACGUUUUUAUGAGCAUCGAGAACUGGGUGUCUGCCAUCAGCAACAAAGAGAGCUUCUCCAGGGCACUCCUGUCCUCCGAAUCGCCAGGGUCCCGGCCGCUAGCCACACCACACCGGCCCAUGUACGAGCUGAGCAAGACACUUCAGCAGGGUGAUUCUUAGGGAACAGGGAGAGUCCCUGUCACGGCCUGGCCGCCUGGGCUUCAGAACGCUGAGCCAGAGUGGAUGUUUCCCUGAAGCCCACCGCGAAGCCAAGGAAGAAAUUCUGCUUCUCAGAGGGGCCUGGUCCCGAAUUUAUAUUUGUAAUGUUUCCCUUUAAUUGCACAAGCUACAGACUCCUCCCAAGAGAAAUGGAUAGAAACACUGUACCACACUUUAGCCUGAUAAAAGUACACCAUUUAAACGGACACUCCCUUUUGUCCUCCAUGGACAGGCCACCAUCCCGUCAGGCCAUCUUGGAGACAAGCUAGGUUGAGUCUCUGGCUGUCUGCUGUCCUUUUUGAAAUACAGCAGUGGUUCAAAAAGUGGCUGUGGUUUACAUUUAUUUACUUCAGCUCCUCCUUGAAAGAAGACUUAGUUGUGGACUCAUUAUUACCACCACUUAUGGAUGUAAAGACUGGAAGAAUUUUCCUGCCUGGGCCUCACUUUUAUUACAUGGUAUCACUGUCCCAGGGUGGCUGAGUUUUGUUUUAUAGUGAAGUUGGUGGAUCUGGACUUUUCCCAUGAGACUCAGAGGACCAAGCCAUAGAAAUUUUGUUGUUGUUCUGACCACAAAAGUAAUGGCAUAUACAUUUACGUGGUUGCAUGGUUGCAUACAUCUGCAUGCAUAAAUAACUUGGAAUAUUAUAAUUUAUAGCAUAGUGAGUGAAAAUCUUCCAUAAUCCCUUAUCGUCGAGAAAAGCCAUUCUCUUUUUUCCAAGACAUACAUUAACAUUUAUUAUUUCACAAAAAGGGAUUGUACUCUUACAACCCAGAAGCGUGUUCCCUGGCUGGCAAUGUCUUCCGUGUCUUUCCAUGUUAGUCUAUAAAGAGUGACGUUGUUUUAAAUCUUCUUUUCUGUGGCUCCAUGGUGCUGUGCUGCACGCUGAACCAUACUUUCCUAACCAAUUGCCUGUGCACACUUGGGUUCUGUCCCAUACUCCCUGUUGCAAAGUGUUUCCCAACCCAAACAUCACUUUAUACUUAAACAUCUUUCAGCAGUUUGGGGAAUCUUUCUUUAUGAUGAAUUCCCAGAAGGUGAAUUAUUAUUGGGUCAAGAGUUUGAGCAUUUCAUUUUAAUAGCUGUUGUCAGAUUCCCCUCCCCUAAUGUUACUCCCAUUUACACCCCAAGCCACACUGUAAGAAGGACCUGCUUCCCCAGGCCCUUACGGAUGCUACAAGCAUGCCACUUGGGCAUGUGUGAUGUGAGUUAAGUGGCUGUUCCCUUGUGAAAGCUAACAAAGAGAUCCAAAGUCCCCCCCUUUCCUGGGCAAGCCAACCACCUAGGCAGCUAGUUAAUUGGAAAGGCAAAAAGUCUACAACCUAAUGCUGGCAUCUGGGCGGGUUUACUACAGAUAACUUGUCAGUGAGUAUGUAAGAAACUGUGAGUAAUUAAUAACUUAAUUAUUAAAGAAAUAUACAUUGGUUCCGAUUUUCAGCAGUUUUUAUAAUUAUAACACACGUUAAUAGUACAGAUAACAGGUUUCCUUGUGACAUUUCUGUACAUGCACACUCUGAUUUGAUCAUAUCUCCCCUCUAUUCUCUCUUGCCCUUUCCUUCCCUACGCUGCUGUUUUAAUAUAAACAAUGCAUUUAAUCUGGGAGCAUCAAAAUAUUUAUAUUUGCA
ensembl:lincRNA